rnacentral:lncRNA from 1 species
GAUCGCAUAGUAGCAGCCCUGCACCCUCGCUAGCCCGAUCCCACCUUUCUGAUGAUGAUGGCCGGCUAAGGCUCCGGGCUACGGACGGACAAGGCAGCAGGGCUUGGACCGGUCCAUUGCUAACCCAACCCUCCACCCAGCGACAAGAGAAGCCGAGACACAGAGAAAUGGGGUUUUUGUCCUCCCCCAGAUACCGGAUGGGAUGGGGCCCACCCUCAACUUCCUGUUUAAAAACCCCCUCCCUCCUUCCGACCGUCCCUUCUCCACCAUUUCCAGAUCCCUUACCCCAUCCAAAACCCUCAUCCUCCGCGCCGCGCCGAGCCCCUCGCCCAUGGCCGCCUCCGAGGACUACCUCCGGCGGUCCCUCGCCGAGAAGCAGACCGCCGUCGACGCCCAGUCCGAGGCCGUCCGGGCCCUCAAGGCCCUCCCCGGCGUCUCC